CAAGGUUUCCGUAGGUGANCCUGCGGAAGGAUCAUUAAAGAAUNCAAUUACUACAAUUAUGAAUUACUGCUUNGGCGGCUUGCCGCCAGAGAACAACACCCAAAUAAUUUUAUCUACCAACCUAAUAAUCAAAACUUUCAACAACGGAUCUCUUGGUUCUCGCAUCGAUGAAGAACGCAGCGAAAUGCGAUAAGUAAUAUGAAUUGCAGCCUUUGUGAAUCAUCGAAUCUUUGAACGCACAUUGCGCCUUGGGGUAUUCCCCAAGGCAUGCCUGUUUGAGCGUCAUUCUCCCUCAAACCCCUGGGUUUGGCAGUGAGUGCACGCCCGUCCACUCGAAAGCAAUACGCAGCAUGUCUAGGACUACCCUCGUGCCCGCGUCUACACUUUCGACCUCAAAUCAGGAGGACUACCCGCUGAACUU
rnacentral:rRNA from 1 species